rfam:Sus scrofa isolate TJ Tabasco breed Duroc chromosome 13, whole genome shotgun sequence.
UGAAAAGCUCUAUUCAGAGCUACCUAUUUACCCCUGGAAUUGUAC